GUUUAUGUAGGAAGGGAUAUCUGCUCUUAAGGAAACAUUGCUUGCGAAAAAACAAUGAAGAAAGCAAGCGAUCAGUCAAUCACAAACAGAGCAUUAGUUCUGGCAAAGUCAAAGAAUCUGUUACUUCUGUUGGAUCUGAAGAACAACCUGAAAAAGUAAGCGUGGAAGAUCAUAUCACGACCGAGGAAGAGAAUUCUUGUGUUAGUUCAGAGCAAGAAAUGCAGGAUAAGACAACUAAAGCAAUUCUAGAGAACCAGGCGGAUGAAAACCCCUUUUCAUCUAAUUCACGUGAUGACAAUGAGAGUGAGAAAAGUGAUGUGACCCAUGUGGAAUCCCAUGAUGGUGUGGCCUCAGUGCACCAGUUUUCAGUUGAGGAUGAAGAAGAAAGUAUGCCCCUGCCCAAAUAUUUGAACACAGGAGGAAGUAUAGAAGCUGAAACUAAGUUAUCUAAGGAUGCCCGUCCUGUGAAGUCUGCACGGACAGUUGAGGAUUUUGAGACAUGGCAAAGGAUAAUUCGUUUGGAUGCAGUUCGUGCUAACAAUGAAUGGGUUUCCUACUCUCCAUCCCAAGCCGCUGUUACCAGGGAGAAGGCAAUUGAAUCUGCUUCAGCUGUUUGUCUCAAAGACUAUGAGCACUUGGAAGCACAUAGGAUCCAUCAUGCGUCGCGUCUUGUUGCAAUACUUGAGGCCUACGCAACGUAUGACCCAGAAAUUGGCUAUUGCCAGGGCAUGAGCGACCUCCUUGCACCUCUCCUUGCUGUGCUGGAGGAAGACGAUGAAGCCUUCUGGUGCUUUGCCGGUUUCAUGAGGAAAGCCCGCCACAACUUCAGACUCGACGAAGUGGGUAUCCGCAGGCAACUCAACAUGGUCUCCAAGAUAAUAAAAACCAAGGACUUCCAUCUUUACAGGCACCUGGAGAUGCUCGAAGCCGCAGACUGCUUUUUCGUUUAUAGAAUGGUGGUUGUGAUGUUCCGGAGGGAACUCACCUUCGAGCAGACCCUCAGCCUGUGGGAGGUGAUGUGGGCCGAUCAGGCAGCGAGGCGUGCUGGGAUCACAAGAUCGUCCUGGGGAAAACUUCGGCUUGGAGCCCCUCCGACAGAUGACCUGCUGCUGUAUGCAAUUGCAG
rnacentral:lncRNA from 1 species